rnacentral:rRNA from 1 species
CCUACGGGUGGCUGCAGUGAGGAAUAUUGGUCAAUGGGCGCGAGCCUGAACCAGCCAAGUAGCGUGAAGGAUGACGGUCCUAUGGAUUGUAAACCUCUUUUGUAAGGGAGCAAAAGGCGCCACGCGUGGCGUUUCGAGAGUACCUGAAGAAAAAGCAUCGGCUAACUCCGUGCCAGCAGCCGCGGUAAUACGGAGGAUGCGAGCGUUAUCCGGAUUUAUUGGGUUUAAAGGGGGCGCAGGCGGAAGAUUAAGUCAGCGGUAAAAUUGAGAGGCUCAACCUCUUCGAGCCGUUGAAACUGGUUUGCUUGAGUGAGUGAGAGGUAUGCGGAAUGCGUGGUGUAGCGGUGAAAUGCAUAGAUAUCACGAAGAACUCCGAUCGCGAAGGCAGUGUACCGGCGCUCAACUGACGCUCAUGCACGAAAGUGUGGGUAUCGAACAGGAUUAGAUACCCCAGUAGUC